AGAGUUUGAUCCUGGCUCAGAGCGAACGCUGGCGGCAGGCCUAACACAUGCAAGUCGAACGGACCCUUCGGGGUUAGUGGCGGACGGGUGAGUAACACGUGGGAACGUGCCUUUAGGUUCGGAAUAGCUCCUGGAAACGGGUGGUAAUGCCGAAUGUGCCCUUCGGGGGAAAGAUUUAUCGCCUUUAGAGCGGCCCGCGUCUGAUUAGCUAGUUGGUGGGGUAAUGGCCCACCAAGGCUACGAUCAGUAGCUGGUCUGAGAGGAUGACCAGCCACAUUGGGACUGAGACACGGCCCAAACUCCUACGGGAGGCAGCAGUGGGGAAUCUUGCGCAAUGGGCGAAAGCCUGACGCAGCCAUGCCGCGUGUAUGAUGAAGGUCUUAGGAUUGUAAAAUACUUUCACCGGUGAAGAUAAUGACUGUAGCCGGAGAAGAAGCCCCGGCUAACUUCGUGCCAGCAGCCGCGGUAAUACGAAGGGGGCUAGCGUUGCUCGGAAUUACUGGGCGUAAAGGGAGCGUAGGCGGACAUUUAAGUCAGAGGUGAAAUCCCGGAGCUUAACUUCGGAACUGCCUUUGAUACUGGGUGUCUUGAGUGUGAGAGAGGUAUGUGGAACUCCGAGUGUAGAGGUGAAAUUCGUAGAUAUUCGGAAGAACACCAGUGGCGAACGCGACAUACUGGCUCAUUACUGACGCUGAGGCUCGAAAGCGUGGGGAGCAAACAGGAUUAGA
rnacentral:rRNA from 1 species